UACGUAGGGUGCGAGCGUUAAUCGGAAUUACUGGGCGUAAAGCGUGCGCAGGCGGUUUUGUAAGUCAGAUGUGAAAUCCCCGGGCUUAACCUGGGAAUGGCAUUUGGGACUGCAAGGCUAGAGUGCGGCAGAGGAGACUGGAAUUCCUGGUGUAGCAGUGAAAUGCGUAGAGAUGUGGAGGAACACCGAUGGCGAAGGCAGCCCCCUGGGUCAAGACUGACGCUCAUGCACGAAAGCGUGGGGAGCAAACAGG
rnacentral:rRNA from 1 species